ACAUGAAAGAAUUAAUUUUGGAUGAUGUUGUAAUACCCUGUGUUUUUCCGGCUUGUUCCGAUGAUUUUUUUGAUGUGUUUUGGUUUGGAUUUUGGUGGUUGAUUCCUUGAAAGUAUUGUUUGUUUUGUAUAACCUUUGGUGUGUUGUUUUGAUUAGGUUCUGAGCUUUAUCGAAUAAGUGUUUAUGUGUUUUCCAGAUGUGACAUGCUUUAGUAAAAUGUCCAUAUCUCCCUAAUGCACCGUUGGAUCGGGCUCAUUUUUUGAUAUGAUGUUCCUAAGAGAAUUUUCUAAAAUUUGGUUGGUCGGAUCGGUUUUUUGAUGUGUCGCGGGCGUGAUAGGCCUAUCACGGGCGUGAUGCGGGCGCUGCUGAUUUAAAAUUUCCUAUUUAAAUCCCCCUUAUUCGACCCAAAAUUAUUUCCUUCGACUCUAAGAACCCUAGGGCGGCUGGAACAUCAUACUAACUCAAUUCCCCACCCAUUCCCUUCAAUUUUGAUCAUUAGCUGUUCUUGACCAAUUAUUUAUGGGUUUUGUUGUUCUUUGGUUAAUCAUAAGACCCGUCGACUGCUCGUGUUUCGGAGUUUACGCAGAGUUAGCUGUUUGCCAAGAUUUCAAGUGGUAAGCAAGCAGUGAGUUUGUAGUGCUAUUUAUCGCUUUAUUAAGUACCGCAAUUUAUUUUAGUAUUAUAAAUGCUUUUGAACUGUUUUAAGCGAUUAUGGAUCUGGAUUGAAACGAGCUACUCGAUAGGCUUGUAUCGAGACUGUGUGCACCGGUAAGUACUCUGGGAUCGGAAGACUAAUGUCUUGCUUACGCUGGUAUAUAUAUGACGAGGAUAUAUUCCCGUCCACUCUGGGUUUAUCAGUAUGUUAUGUCAUACUUACGCUGAGAUUAUUUCAAUACUGUUUUCCAUAAUCAUACUAUAUUAGUAUAAACUGUUUUGAUUUAAGGGUUUUAAACUUAAUAAAUGUAAAUAAUAUUGCGAACUCAUCUCAGUAUAUCUGACCCCGUUGUUUUCCCAAAUUUUCCAGGUUUAUGAUUUGAAAGCUGGUACACUCCGUUUCUUUUGAUUAUUUGGAGGUUUUUAUGUUAUUUAACUAGUUACUGUUUUUGAACUCUUAGACUGCAGUAGAACUAGUUAGUAUAUGUUAUAUUUGAUAUUACACUUUGGGAUUAUCGAUUUGAUCGAUUAUUUAUUA